rnacentral:rRNA from 1 species
AACGAACGCUGGCGGCAUGCCUAACACAUGCAAGUCGAACGAGACCUUCGGGUCUAGUGGCGCACGGGUGUGUAACGCGUGGGAAUCUGCCCUUGGGUUCGGAAUAACAGUUGGAAACGACUGCUAAUACCGGAUGAUGACGUAAGUCCAAAGAUUUAUCGCCCAAGGAUGAGCCCGCGUAGGAUUAGCUAGUUGGUGAGGUAAAGGCUCACCAAGGCGACGAUCCUUAGCUGGUCUGAGAGGAUGAUCAGCCACACUGGGACUGAGACACGGCCCAGACUCCUACGGGAGGCAGCAGUGGGGAAUAUUGGACAAUGGGCGAAAGCCUGAUCCAGCAAUGCCGCGUGAGUGAUGAAGGCCUUAGGGUUGUAAAGCUCUUUUACCCGGGAUGAUAAUGACAGUACCGGGAGAAUAAGCUCCGGCUAACUCCGUG